GAUGAACGCUGGCGGCGUGCUUAACACAUGCAAGUCGAACGAAGCACUUUAUUUGAUUUCCUUUGGGACUGAUUAUUUUGUGACUGAGUGGCGGACGGGUGAGUAACGCGUGGGUAACCUGCCUUGUACAGGGGGAUAACAGUUGGAAACGGCUGCUAAUUCCGCAUAAGCGCACAGCAUCGCAUGAUGCAGUGUGAAAAACUCCGGUGGUAUAAGAUGGACCCGCGUUGGAUUAGCUAGUUGGUGAGGUAACGGCCCCCCAAGGCGACGAUCCAUAGCCGACCUGAGAGGGUGACCGGCCCCAUUGGGACUGAGACACGGCCCCAACUCCUACGGGAGGCAGCAGUGGGGAAUAUUGCACAAUGGGCGAAAGCCUGAGGCAGCGACGCCGCGUGAGCGAAGAAGUAUUUCGGUAUGUAAAGCUCUAUCAGCAGGGAAGAUAAUGACCCUUAAAGGCUAAGAAGCCCCGGCUAAAUACGUA
rnacentral:rRNA from 1 species